rnacentral:rRNA from 1 species
CAGUCGCCGCGGGAAUACGAAGGGUGCAAGCGUUAAUCGGAAUUACUGGGCGUAAAGCGUGCGUAGGCGGUGAGUUAAGUCUGCUGUGAAAUCCCUGGGCUCAACCUGGGAAUUGCGAUGGAUACUGGGCGACUAGAGUGCGGUAGAGGAUAGUGGAAUUUCCGGUGUAGCAGUGAAAUGCGUAGAGAUCGGAAGGAACAUCUGUGGCGAAGGCGACUAUCUGGGCCAACACUGACACUGAGACACGAAAGCGUGGGGAGCAAACAGGAUUAGAUACCCCUGUAGUCCCUGUCUCUUAUAC